UCCGAUUAUUGAUUAGCGGUUGAAAAUUUUCUUGAAGCAAAGUCAUGGUAAUCAGAAACCAAAUUAUUUUUAAAAGGCUCACCUUUGCCAAAAGAAGAUAAUAGAACGUAUGGGCUGUUGCCAAAUAAUGAUAGAAAGCUACAGCUCUCCCAAACCAUCUAUAUUCGAAGUAAAAAUACUCAACACAACUGCAGCAACAAAUGCAAAGCAAAAGAACCAGCCGUCCACUGGUCAAUGUAAAUUACUUAAUUGAUUUUUUUUCAAAUUACAAUUUGCUCACCCUUGUGAUAAAACAUUCAAGCAACUGAAAAGCAAAACUGUUCCAUACGCAGGGGAACAGAAUCCACUGUUCAAGCAAAGAACUCCAAUCCUUUCUGCCUACAGAAUAAAAGUUCUUCAAUCACAAAUGGAUAUUUCUUUGUCAGCAUACUAGUCAAGCAAUAAAAGUCCUGAAGUAACAAGCAAAGACUUAU
rnacentral:misc_RNA from 1 species